rnacentral:rRNA from 1 species
CGGGUGAGUAACACGUAUCCAACCUGCCGUCUACUCUUGGACAGCCUUCUGAAAGGAAGAUUAAUACAAGAUGGCAUCAUGAGUCCACAUGUUCACAUGAUUAAAGGCAUUCCGGUAGACGAUGGGGAUGCGUUCCAUUAGAUAGUAGGCGGGGUAACGGCCCACCUAGUCUUCGAUGGAUAGGGGUUCUGAGAGGAAGGUCCCCCACAUUGGAACUGAGACACGGUCCAA